UGCGUUNUGAACUGGGUGACUAGAGUGUGUCAGAGGGGGGUAGAAUUCCACGUGUAGCAGUGAAAUGCGUAGAGAUGUGGAGGANUACCGAUGGCGAAGGCAGCNUCCUGGGAUAACACUGACGUUCAUGCCCGAAAGCGUGGGUAGCAAACAGGAUUAGAUACCNUGGUAGUCCACGCCCUAAACGAUGUCGAUUAGCUGUUGGGCAGCAUGACUGCUUAGUAGCGAAGCUAACGCGUGAAAUCGACCGCCUGGGGAGUACGGUCGCAAGAUUAAAACUCAAAGGAAUUGACGGGGACCCGCACAAGCGGUGGAUGAUGUGGAUUAAUUCGAUGCAACGCGAAGAACCUUACCUGGUCUUGACAUGUACGGANUCCUCCAGAGACGGAGGGGUGCCUUCGGGAGCCGUAACACAGGUGCUGCAUGGCUGUCGUCAGCUCGUGUCGUGAGAUGUUGGGUUAAGUCCCGCAACGAGCGCAACCCUUGUCAUUAGUUGCCAUCAUUAAGUUGGGCACUCUAAUGAGACUGCCGGUGACAAGCCGGAGGAAGGUGGGGAUGACGUCAAGUCCUCAUGGCCCUUAUGACCAGGGCUUCACACGUCAUACAAUGGUCGGUACAGAGGGUAGCCAAGCCGCGAGGUGGAGCCAAUCUCACAAAACCGAUCGUAGUCCGGAUUGCACUCUGCAACUCGAGUGCAUGAAGUCGGAAUCGCUAGUAAUCGCAGGUCAGCAUACUGCGGUGAAUACGUUCCCGGGUCUUGUACACAC
rnacentral:rRNA from 1 species